AACAGAAGCAGGAAAUAAGAAUUUAUUUUCUUACAUUCGAUUAAUAUUUGUUAAAGAUGAAGAAGUUGUUCAAAAUGUAGGUUGUUCAGAAUGCUGAGAGAUUACAAGUUACGUAUGUUGAAGGCCUAAGGAUCUACUUCAGAGCUGGGAGGUAGUAAGCCAGGAAGAGCAAAACCUCCGAUUUCCCGGAUAAUCUUCAGAGAUCCAAACAUACUCAACGAGGAUUCGGUUUGCUUGCUAAGCUGUUAUCUAUGCCACCGGGAUAUUGAUUUUUGACCUCGUCGUGUUAGGAAUGGGGUGUUAUUCCCUUUCUGCUUCACAGAUGGCGCUGACAUCACACAUUUUAUUUUGUAUGAUGACGAUCGCUUUGAUCAAGUAUUGUAGGCGUUUACCACGUUAAACGCGGAAAAAUUCAAAUUUGAUAGUUAUACCUGCAUCCAGGACAUCACGAAUAGUAUCACCGACUUAAUAUUGAAUAUACACGCUAUUGACCCAAAUGUUGCAGUCGUAUAGUAAAUGCAAAGAAGGUUAUUCCAGCCAUGAUCUCAAGCGAUUCGAACCCGAACUGCACGUGUUUCAUACUGCAACUGACAACAAUUCAGACGAAAUAAAGAUUUAUAGAGGCUGCUUUUGUGGAAAAAGGAAAAACGCUUACAAGAUCGAGGUUGUUUUGAGGUGACAUCCUUGGCAUUGAAGCACUGUCUUCCUGGUCCAAAAAAUCGAAGGGAAGAUGUUGUUUUGACCAGACUAAUCAGCAAACCAGGAUUGUUGAAUCGUUUUAACCUUCAAAAUGAUCCCCUAUGUCACGAAUGUAAUAGCAUUAAUGAUAUUGAACACAUAAAUAUCUGGUGGAAAAAAUAUACAUAUCAUAGAGACAAAUUGUGAACUUUUCUACAGUUAGAUAAACAAGAUAUAUUCUUCAAAAAUGUUUUGGAUAAAAUAAACAAGACCAAUCUGCAAGUUUCUCUUCAAGCGAUGAAGCAUUUCAAUAUCUACUAACUUUAUUGACCACAUUCUGUUGAUACUUUUUUUAGACUCUUUUAUCACCAUUCCGUGUUGCAGGAACUGUCUGCCUUUUAGUAUCUCUUCUUUUCACUGGAACUUUAGAAUCUCGAAUAUGAACUAAAUCACAUCAUCGGAACUGCUUUGUUACUGUUAACUGACUGAAAUUUCAUCUGGAAACAGGGGAUAACGGCAGCCAUUGUUGCUAUAAAUCCCAAUCUCUUACUUCUUUCAAGUCUAAUAAGGCAUUAAAUUGUAGUUUUGCUUCAUUUAA